AUUAUUAAAUGGCCGCGAUAAUUUGAUCGUGCAAAGGUAGCAUAAUAAUUAGUUUCUUGAUUAGGAACUGGAAUGAAAGGUUGAACGAAAAAAAUACUGUCUCAAUUUAAUUUAAAUUAGAAUUUUAUCUUUAAGUUAAAAAGCUUAAAUAAUUUUAAAAGACGAGAAGACCCUAUAGAGUUUUAUAUUUAUUAAUUAUUUUUAAUUUAAGUAUUUUGUUUAAAAAUUAUUUAAUAAAUAUUUGAUUGGGGUGAUUAAAAAAUUUAAAAAACUUUUUUUAUUAAGUUAACAUUGAUAUAUGAUUAAAUGAUCCAUAUUUAUAUGAUUAAAAGAUUAAAUUACCUUAGGGAUAACAGCGUUAUUUUUUUUGAGAGUUCUUAUCGAAAAAAAAGUUUGCGACCUCGAUGUGGGAUUAAAA
rnacentral:rRNA from 1 species